ensembl:snoRNA
GGCCUCCCAGCCACAUAGAAAGAGGGGGCAGAGAAAGCCUAUUGCAUAUAUAUCUCAGCCUGGGUCGCAUGCCUGGCCUGUGUAAUGAAUGGGGGAACAUGG